GAUGAACGCUGGCGGCGUGCCUAAUACAUGCAAGUCGAGCGAACGGACGAGAAGCUUGCUUCUCUGAUGUUAGCGGCGGACGGGUGAGUAACAUGUGGAUAACCUACCUAUAAGACGGGGAUAACUUCGGGAAACCGUAGCUAAUACCGGAUAAUAUUUUGAACCGCAUGGUUCAAAAGUGAAAGACGGUCUUGCUGUCACUUAUAGAUGGAUCCGCGCUGCAUUAGCUAGUUGGUAAGGUAACGGCUUACCAAGGCAACGAUGCAUAGCCGAACUGAGAGGGUGAUCGGCCACACUGGAACUGAGCCACGGUCCAGACUCCUACGGGAGGCAGCAGUAGGGAAUCUUCCGCAAUGGGCGAAAGCCUGACGGAGCAACGCCGCGUGAGUGAUGAAGGUCUUCGGAUCGUAAAGCUCUGUUAUUAGGGAAGAACAUAUGUGUAAGUAACUGUGCACAUCUUGACGGUACCUAAUCAGAAAGCCACGGCUAACUACGUG
rnacentral:rRNA from 1 species